rnacentral:tRNA from 1 species
CGGGAAGUAGCACAGUUUGGUAGUGUACAUGGUUUGGGACCAUGGGGUCGCAGGUUCGAGUCCUGUCUUCCCGACCA